ACGCUCGACACCUACGGGAGGCAGCAGUGGGGAAUAUUGGGCAAUGGGCGAAAGCCUGACCCAGCAACGCCGCGUGAGGGAAGAAGGUUUUCGGAUUGUAAACCUCUGUCCUCAGGGACGAAGGACGUGACGGUACCUGAGGAGGAAGCCCCCGGCUAACUACGUGUCAGCAGCCGCGGUAAUCUGAGCGGGCUGGCAAGGC
rnacentral:rRNA from 1 species